rnacentral:lncRNA from 10 species
AAAUUUUCAACAUUUAGACCAACUCACAUUCCAUGAUCCAGCUCUUCCAGGGGUAGCAGAACAUGACCAGAUCUUCACCAAAAUUUCCCCUUCCUAGGCACAUAAGAAACAACACUUUCCUGCCUUUUUGUAAGGAGGUGGGCAUAUGAUCUGCUCUGGCCAGUGGAAUGUAGGUAGAAAGUGAUCUAUACCACUUCCAGACCAAGCUCCAAAAUAUUUUGUGCCAUCCUCCAUGUUUUCUCUCUUUCUUCUUUAAACCACCAGAUAGAGAAAAUCUCUGGGUCCUAGUGGAUCUCAGUUCUAGUAGAAUGAACACCCUCAACCCCCAAACUUUGCAUGGACCCCAGAUAAACUUUUAUUGUUUUAAAAUAUUAAAAUUGGAGGCUGUGCAUUUUACCCACCCUAACCAAUAUACCAAGUUUGAUGCCUUGCCAUUUACCAAAUCCUCUCAUUGUUUUCCAGGAAUGAGACGGGGAGAUAGGAAGCUCUCUUAUUCCUAAACUCUUAUUACAGUCUCCACUGUUUCCAGCCUCCUCAUGUAUGUCCAGAGUCAACAACAGGCCUAGAAAGCUGGAAAUGGAAGCAGCAGAAACCUUUGUUCCUCCAGGGUUUAGGAUGGCAAUGGGGAACAAGUGUUCAUCCCUAUAUUGCACACAGCACUCAUCCUGUUCACAGAUCCACAGGAAAUAACUAGAGCUCAUCAGUCCUCCUAGGCCAUGAAUUUUCAAAACAAUCCUAGCACCUAUGGGGCAUCGUGGUCAUCCAAGCCCUAAGAAGGCUGCUGUCCAUCCAGUCAAGGCUAUCGGAGGGUGUCUGAGGUGUCCUCUCCCUCCUUAUCUGCACCCCUUCCCCUUCCUGCCUUCUCAGCCAGCAGCAGCAUUGCUUCAUUGAGGAAACCUGCACAACACACAAGCAACUAAGAGGCUUCUGGAUUUCAAAAGCCUGAGUUUUGAAGAUCUCAGCCUCCAGCAUUUAUGUCAUAAACAAAAUAUUUGGACCAUUGAUGGAGAGACUUUUACCCUCAGGCUAGAUUAAGAUUCACUAAUCAAGAGAAAGAAAAGAAGCAAAUCGGACCUGAAGAAGGUAGCUGAACCUUGAAGAGGGGAAUAACAGAAACUCAAGGUCAGGUGGAAAAAUCCAAGAGUACUUUACUGAGUUGUGAUGAGGAGACUCAUAGAAGCUUCACAUUUCUCUGACUGGGGCCAACAGGUCCUCCUCCCACACUCUGGACAGCCAGAUUCCUAUUUGGCAUUAAUCUGUGUGUUCCACAGUCCGCUUCUACAGCCUCAGGAAACCUCCCGUCAACACUGGGACCUCGGUAUGGGGCAAAUUUCAGGAGGAAAAGAAUAAAAGGAAUAAAAGUUAAGUCCUCCAGUAUUUUUUGGCAGAAAGGUGAGGAGCAAAGUUCCAAUGACUCAGGAUCAGUGAUAGAAGUUGUUGGUCCAUGGGGAAAAGAAUUGGGCAUCUCCAGCUCUGUGAUCUUUCUUCCAGGCCCUUGACCUGCCACCAGCAUUUUACAUACCCACGCAUACACACACAAUUAUAUUCCCCAAAAAUACUCCCCAAAGAGGAUUUCCAGAGUGCUUUUAGAUCCUUUGACAUUUCCAACCUCUCCUCCAGUGAUUUAAAAAAAAAAUCUUCACUAGAAUCAUAAUGUCUCUGGUAUUUCUUUUCAAGAAAUUCCAAUCACAUAAUUGAACAGGGUUGAGUUGUAGGAGAGGGUUAAGAAGAACAGGCUCUCUGAGUGACAGUCACACUCAGGCGCCAUCUGGCUGCAACCCACUGUAUCAACAGCCAAACCAUGAGGUCCACACAGGUUACACUGGCGGGUACGCAGAGGCAGGGACAUCUAUCUAGUAGCAAGGCGCCUCACUGUGCAGAUCUGGGCACAUAGCUUCAUCGGAAUUCCUCCCACACCAGCCUCAAACAAGCUGCCCUUUACUGAGUGAGGUUUUCAGGGGAUGCAGGUAGGAAAAGAUUAAACAGUGAAUAACUUUAUUUAUUAUUCCUAACCCAUAGCCAUCUCGGAGGGCUGGAAUAGCUCCCUGGCUCCCUGGGUCUCAGAGAUGCCUAUAGGUCUAGGCUGUGGGUACGCCUGUGGUUUGGGGUUUGUUCUGCUUUCAUUGUGAGCCAAACCUCCAACAAUCCCUACACCCUGGGUGGUUACUAUUGAUUUUUUUUUUU